rnacentral:rRNA from 1 species
UACGGAGGGUGCAAGCGUUGCUCGGAAUUAUUGGGCGUAAAGGGUAGGUAGGUGGUCUCAUUUGUCUGGGGUGAAAGCCUUGAGCUUAACUCAAGAAGUGCCUUAGAAACGGUGAGACUGGAGUCCUGGAGAGGGUCGUGGAAUUCCCGGUGUAGCGGUGAAAUGCGUAGAGAUCGGGAGGAACACCAGAGGCGAAGGCGGCGACCUGGACAGGUACUGACACUAAACUACGAAAGCGUGGGGAGCAAACAGG